rnacentral:lncRNA from 1 species
UGAGCUGUCUGCUGUCCACCCAGCACCAGAGUCAGACAAGCAAGACAGCGAGGCGUCUGGGGCUGGAAGUCAGGGAAAGGAGGGUUCGAGGUACCUGCUUGUCCAAAGCGUCCCGGGCGCCUGCGGGUCCUGCGUUGGUCCUGGGUGGUGCGGGAGUCCGCUCACAGCUGCAGCCCUCUAGAAGGUACAUGCCGGCUGGGCGGCCGCUCUGCUCGCCUUCGAAGUAAAAGAGCACAUUCUGGUAGAGAGCGAACCACUUCUCGUGCCAGCGGCUCGCCUCUGCAGCCUUCUUGCUCAGGAAGCCGCGUUUGGUGCCCUCCUUGCGCGCCAGCAUGGCCAGGUACAGGGCGUGCCCCUCGUUGUAGCGCACGCUCUUCUGCAUGGCGAGGGCGCGGAGGGCGUUCGAGUCGUAGCCUCAGCUUCUUGGCGGGGUCAUCGCAGAUUGCCCUCCGGGAGGACGCACCGCAGACUGCCUGCCACGGGGCACCCCGCUCGCCGCCCAGACCUAGGACGCCUAUCCGGGCUGGAGCACCAGCACCGUCUCCUCCCCGACCGCGCCCUCUCCGGCCCCCGACGCCUCCUGUUCCCCGGAAGCCCGGUGCCGAGUGGCCCUCCGAGGGCGCCCGCACCAGUGUCACUCCACCCGAAGUAUUGCGGGAGCCCAGCCUCUGCGGCGGGCUGCGCUGUGCUAUGAGGCGCGCGGCAGCCAGAGGACUGUCCUCGGGCAACGCGCUCCGGGAGACAGAAGGUAAAACGUCACGUGGGAGAUCAGCAGUAAGCGGCUUGGAGACCGAUUUAAAGGGUAAAGCCGGCGCGGUGGCGGCCGCGGAGGCGCUGCGUGCUCACCCCAGCGCACAUCCUUCAGUCGCCUGCCAGGACCUUGGCCUCUGCUUCUGUCCAGGCCAAGCCUGGAUGGGGCAGAUCGCCCAAGAGGAGCAGGAGCGAGCGUGGUAGCGCCCAGUCGCUCACAGCACAAACACUCACAAAUGUGCUCUCAUGCAUACACAGGCAAACGCACACUGAACAUACACAUGGAGACUGAAGCAUGCACACAAACACACAACGCUCAUAUUCGCGCACAAAAUCACACAUGCACCCAAAUACAAUAAGCACAGGCAUACAAGCAUACAUGCACUCACAACAUAAAUUACCAAAUACUCUUUAAUCCAAUGCUCACAGUCAUACACAUAAGACUGCAAUGUACAGUCACGUAUAGCACAUUCCUA